CGGCGUGCUUAACACAUGCAAGUCGAACGAGACGAUUUAGAAGCUUGCUUUUAUUGAGUCGAGUGGCAAACGGGUGAGUAACGCGUAGACAACCUGCCGCAAAGAUGGGGACAACAGUCCGAAAGGACUGCUAAUACCGAAUGUUGUAUCUCCUCCGCAUGGAAGAGAUAUUAAAGAUGGCCUCUACUUGUAAGCUAUCGCUUUGCGAUGGGUCUGCGUCUGAUUAGCUAGUUGGUGGGGCAACGGCCUACCAAGGCGACGAUCAGUAGCCGGUCUGAGAGGAUGAACGGCCACAUUGGAACUGAGACACGGUCCAGACUCCUACGGGAGGCAGCAGUGGGGAAUCUUCCGCAAUGGGCGAAAGCCUGACGGAGCAACGCCGCGUGAGUGAAGAAGGUCUUCGGAUCGUAAAGCUCUGUUGUCGGGGACGAAUGUUGAGACCUAGAACAUAGGUUUCAAAUGACGGUACCUGACGAGGAAGCCACGGCUAACUACGUG
rnacentral:rRNA from 1 species